CAGUCCUCCGGAGGUUUGAGGAGCUAAGCAGAUGAUUCUAAAGCACAGCAAAGUUGAGACACUAAAUGCUGGGCGUGGGUACGAGCAAUGCUGCCAUCAUUUCAAUUGCGGGCUGGGCCAAAUCUUUGUGCUCAGCAAAGACCUUUUCACCAGGGGCGUGAAUAGAGCAGGUCUUGUUUGAAUGGCUGUAUGGAUUUUGCAUGAAUCACCCCUGUCCAACGCUGGAGACACCCUUUCCAGAAGAUCCUGAUUCCAGUCUGCAUCCAUCAACCAGUUGCAAGGCUCUUGGAAGCAUCUCUGGGCUUUUGAGCGAUUUCACUCGACCAGAAAACCCAGUGGCUGGACUGAGGAGCAGUCAUGAGACGGAAGCCACGGCAGAUGGAAGCUGGACAUUGCUUUGAUCAGAUGCUCAAGUGACAGGGGACGAGAGCUACCACCUCCAACUUUCCACAAGCUCUUGCUUGCAGUGCCCAUGUCAGGGCUGAGAUGCUUGCUUAAGUCUAGCUCUGGAGCCGAAAUCACUCUUAUUUCUGCGUCCAGAGCGGGCCUGGGGAACCUUUUACCCGAGGCGAUGAGAGGAAGACACUGUGAGCCACCCUCUCCCCACUACAGGCUGUGUGACUACAGAACAGGCAUGGAGAUUGUAAUGUUCAACCCGUUUCUGCAUUUCUCCUGCUCCAUGAAGACUGCAUUCCUCAGAUGCAGGUGACCUGUAUCCAGAGGUGCUUUUGAAGCAUGUGUGGGGAAAGUGCCCUGCCUGCACGGAACAGAGGAAGGCAAAGGCUUCUAGGCACCCCAGGCAUCCAGGAGGACAUGCAACCAGUGUCCUUUUCAGAGAUGGGGCACCUACAGGUACCCGUGUAGAAAUGGACCUAGGGACAAAAACAGAGCUGCCCUGCUGGGCAGUCUCUAACAGAGGAUGGAAAUGCCCGUUUUCUUGUGUAUGGGAAGUCUAGGGUAGCACGUGCUAAUCCUGGGUGGCUUGUGGAAGAAGAAAAGAUGCUGCAGAGAGGACAACCCUCUUCCCCUUGUCCCCUGGCCCUAUGUUAUCUACAGAAGGGAAGAGGGAGAGGGACAGAGGCAAAGAGGACUAUUGAAUACCAGCCCUGAGCCAAGCAGCCCUCUGGGCUCUAAGGUGUAUUCGCACUGAAUGGCUCCCUCAUGGUCCCACAGUUGUUACUACAGCGC
rnacentral:lncRNA from 1 species